AUUUAGCUGUCUCUAAAUUAUCUUCUGAAAAGCAGUGAUUGAAAGUAGUAGACUGGAUCCUGGCUGGCGAGGACCCCUUGGGGCCUCCACGGCAGAGUUCUACGCACUGCCCCCGGCCCCAGGGUGUGUCCACAGCGCCCACCCGCGGCCUCGAAGCACCUCCAGAGCAGGUCUUUGGGAGUUAACCAGCAAACCGACCUGCAACUGCCAAAACCUCCGCCAGAGGCCUUAAAACCUAGGACCCAUCCGACGGUUCGCCUCGUCCAUGCAAGCGUGCGUUCAUCAGCCUGGCACGCGCGCACGCGACAACACGAAUCCACGGACGGCGCCCGGGGAGCCGCGCCCAGCCCGGGCUGCAGGCUGAGAACGCGCGCCCCGCUUGCCCUCCUCCUCCCGCUCAGCCCCGGCCCCUCACCAAGGGGACAACAGCUCAAUUACGAAAAGGAGCGAAAGAACCAGUUCCCGGCUCCGAGGCGCCCGCGGACGCUCCUUGGGUCCCAGGUCCCCGUCGCACAGUCCCCACCCCCACCGUCCUCAGCGCGGGGAGGGCGGGGACGCAGCGGCGCGAGGGGUCCUGGCCUGCUCCGCCGAAACAAAGCCCGCCGCGGGAUACCGCGGCCGCGCACCGAGCUGGCGACAAAGGCGAGCGGCGGGCAAGAGCCACGCUCCGAGCCUGCGCUCCUCGGGCCGGGCGGGAAGGAAUCCCGAAAGAUGGGUGCGAUUUGCACCCGCUUGUUUCUGGGUUGCAGUCUCCCGCUCCUGUGCACUCAAUGACCUGUUAGGGUGUCUCAGCAUUUAUCUCGCCUUUCCGCGCCCAUCUGCCUCUCUCCUGUUCCCUCGGUCCCUAGCCUCCUCCAUGGGGUUAGUCCUCCUCUCUCCUUCUCCCUUACUGCAUUCUCACUCUGCCCUUUUUACCUUUCCCUUUUUCUUUGCCAUAAAAAAGCAAUGCUAAUUCGACUUCUGCUGGCCGCUCUACGCGUCAAAUCGCAUUUUUCAAGGCCUUUCUGGGCAGUGCUCAGGAAGAAAGGGUGAGACAUGGGGUCCUUUUAAUUUUAGUACGCAAGCUGUACGCUAAAUAAAAUAAAACGCCAGGAGAGUGGAUCUAAAGAAGCCAAGCUCGGCCCUGAGGCCCCACACACUACCCCACUCGGGAGGAAUCCCGCGGGGGCCCGCAAAUCACGCGCCGGCGAGGGUGGAGGCCAACGGAGGACCCAAGCCUCGGCCUCUCCAAGGCAAACACUGGGGAAAGUUCUUAUCCUUCGUUCCAGCUCGGGAGGGGAACCGCUGGCCAGAUCCCUCCGAUAAAGUCCUAGUAUUUUCGAAUUUAGGAGACUUUCAUAGUGGAUGUUUUUCCAAGUGAAGUUUCACUGGGUGGUUUUGUGAUGUGAAUUAAAAAUAAAAGGACUGCUGCCCACCCCACUAGAGCAAUAUAAGAUACACCUUGACUUCCGGAGAUGUUUGCACCUUGCUUUAAUACUGAAUUAACAUUUAAUGCCUAUCAAGUGCUACACUAGGCUCAGGAUCCUUCCCUCAGGCUUUUAUUAACCAAGUUCCCCACAGAAAUUUUGGAGAGAGGGCUGAGCGUUCAAAGCAAUGCCGGACACAGAACUUUUAAGUUGGGACUAACUCGUCCGAGCUGGAACUGCAAGAAGCUAUGUGAGUUAGGUCGAUUAAAUGAUAUUGCUGCAAAUUGUGGAGUAUUUGAAGCACUGGAUACGAAUGAAUACACUGCUUUUAAAGUGAACAAUAGAAACAUAGAAACGCUUUCUAUUUCUAACACCUCUGAGGCUGGCCAGGCCUGUGGGCACCGGGGUGGGUUAGAGCCCGGGAUGCAGCUUAGCAGUGGGGUGGCAGCCGCAGCAUUCAGAAGCGGAGACCCAGCACAGCAGCGUUUGGUGGAAAUGCCCAAAAGAGCAGCCCUUGGCCUGACACACUGCAAGCUGCACCCACCUCCUCGGACAAUAGCUGGGUUCAGAUGUCAAAAAAAUCUAAUAAAAAAGAGGCACCA
ensembl:lncRNA